rnacentral:lncRNA from 1 species
AGACACUCCAGGAGAGUGCAGCGGCAUCCAGAAGCAAAGCUUGCAUUCUCUUGCCCAAUGACUUCCUAACUUCACUUGAGCGCUUAGUUUUUCAGGUCGCAAAAACUCUUCAAGGACAACGGGUAAGAAGUACGUGGAAGUUAAAACUGAGGGGGCAGAUUCUGGAGCGGAGGAUGAAAUUCACGCGUUCCAGGAAUCAGUAUUGUUGUGAACAUCAGGGCAGCAGUUCUGUUCACCUGGAUUUAUAAACACCAAAACGUAGCAACAGCCAGUGUGCAAGUCACUGACAACCCAAGUCACCAAAAAUCUUACUGAGAACCCACAUGUCAUUAGCUCCUUGAAUUAAAGAUUAUUUUGUGAAAA